GGAAGUAGCCUUUUCUUCUCUGAUUGACGGCUGUGUUUCCCAGGCAACAGUAAACGGACGCCAGUAUAGUGUAGACAUGGCGGAGCUCCAGCAGAUUAAGUGUAAAAUAGAAGACUUCAGAAAGCGACAGUUCUACUUAGCAAGGUUAGCUGAGGCAAACAAACAGGCAAAAUCCCGGGCUGCUAUACGGAUCCAGAGCUGCUUCAGAGGCUACAGGGUGAGAUUUUACAUAAGGCAUCUGCACGAGAAGGCGGUCAUUAUACAGAAGACAUGGCGGGGCUUCAAAGCAAGGGCACAUUUCAGACAAAUGGUGAUGGCAGCAUAUUUUAUCAUGAAGAUGAAUUUCUACAAUGAGAUGGCGGUCAAGAUCCAGCGAAGGUGGCGAGGAUUUUAUGUGCGCAAGUACAUUCAUAGCUUCUAUUCACGCAAGAGCUACCUGGAAAGACUAUCCAGGACAAAUGAAGUAGUCAGGAGGGAAAUGGAAGAACUUGAAGAGCUCCAGAAGCGAGAGAAAAUCUGUCUGAAAAAGGUGAACGAACAGAAAGCCAAAGUCUAUCAAGCUUACAGAUGGCACCAUCUACUCAGCACUAAGCGGUGCCCAGGGGUUUUCAACUCUCCAUUCAGGCUAGUCCCCCAUGAGAUGGAGUUACUACUGAGGCAGGUCAAGUACCAGGCCCCCACCAAGCUAGUCCCAAGGGACAGCACUCAUCUCACACCUGCAUCCCCGACGCCCCCCACUUUCGCUGUCCCUCCAGGAUCCCCAAGGAGAAGAGGUAGAGCCUUCUGCUCUCCCAGGCCCAUACUUCCUCCGAUCGCCAGCACCAAACAGCAGGUCCGGAUCAGAGACCCCGGGGAGAUGUGGGAGCAAGGCGUACGUUUUCCUGAGCUGGCUAUGCAUCUACAGACCUCAUACGGGCACCUGGAGGAGGCACAAAAUGAAUUACGGCUCUACAGUGGCACACUAGGAAAUGAAUGUAUGGAGCAACAAUUGGACUGCAGCAGUCAUCCACUUCCUCAGCCAGACAAUGACGAGAGCUUCACAUAAGUGGUCACACACACGAGAAUGCACUUCAGGAUGCUCCAACAAUGUCUCGGGAUCUCUACAGAGAACAUUAGCAUUAAAGGACCUCAACAGUGUUGCUGCAGGAGAACAGCAUAAAGGUCCCAUGUCCAUCCAGCCUCAUAUUUCACACGCACGGGGGUACGGGAGCAUCCAGAAGAAGCCUAACAGCAGCCCACCCUCCCUCUUCAUGUCGCUGGCACUCCCGCAGGCCUGCGCUCUAAGGCCUGGAAGGCUUAGCAGAGACAGAGCGUUUAGUAAUGGCUUCUUAAUGGGCUUGUCGACAGCCACAUUAGAGCGUGGUGCAGGCGGCGAGCGAGGCUGGGCAGCGAUAUGCCAAGCCAGAUGCCAUGCCAGCUGUGGUGCUCGGCUCGCUCGUUCACACUCUCAUUUGUAAUCACAUUUCUCAGACGGAUGGAUGCCAUGUGCGCAAAAAGCGAGUGAGCGAGCGGAUACGCAUUUGUUGCCCUUUCCCAUGCAGCGCCUGCCAGGAUAGAUCUUUCUAAUCUGCUGCUCUACAUUUUCUCUGUGGCGUCUGUCAUCGUCAUCAAGUGCACCGCCUGAGAACAUUUUACAAAGGAAAUGAUCAUUUCCUCUUGUAGCGUUGGACCCUACCGUCUGCUAAAAUGUUUCUUUGUACUUGUGUUGCUGCCUGGCUCUUUAGUGGGCCUCAAAGCUCUUUCUUAGAGUGGGUUAUGUGGAACAUUUAGUCUGUUGACAUCAGUACUUUAGAUGCUUAGUCACUUUGAUCAAAUACCUAUACAGUCUUGCAUGAAAUGUGGAAUACACGUCUUAAACUACCAUAACCUCUCUUGUUUAAGCAAUGCUUUAACAAGCCAAUGUAAAAAGAUAAAGUGAAGACCUUUACCAAGGCCAAACUGGAGCAUGUAUUUCUUAAUUAGUCAGCAGGUUACUUCCUGCUUUAUGGAGGAUGACAAACAGAUGGGUGCUGCUAUUAUGAUUCUGCGGUGUGGACGGUGAAAAUAGGUUCCUAUAUCAGCACCUUUAUCCAGAUCCUCGUCAAAAGAUAAUGGGUUCUUCCUUGGACCAUGCACCACUCCCCGUCAAUAUUUUGUAAUUAUAUUUCAACUGUAUUUUAAAAAGGGUGAUGAUGGAUGUUGAUAUCAACAAACUCUCUAGUUUAACUGCAAUAGGUUUUCAUGAAGAAGUUCAAGGUAUAAAAAUGCAAUCAUUUCCACAACAAAAGCCACUUCGACAUCUCCAGCUGACAUAUUUCAAACCUGUCAUUGACAAAAAAAAAAAAUCAAAGAAAUCAUCUGCAGUCUGAGGCCCUGUCCACACAAGAACGCUCCUAAGAUAUUUUUGGGCAUGUUGGAAAAAUAAUUACUAAUUUUAAAUUGCAUCCAGACGGAAACGGAUCACUGGGCUGACACCCAGACAGAACCAUGUGACACACCAAACCAUAGAAGAAGAAAAAAUGACAGGAACGACUUUGUUGGAAUUGGUAAGCUGUGUCUCAAAUGAAAUGGCUAGUGUCUAAAUGAAGUGGCAUUCCCCAUGGCUCAAUCCUGGGACCCAUAUUGUACAGUCUCUACAUGCUUCCUUCAGGCCAGGUAAUAAUAAGCUGCCUACCACAACUACACAGAUGUACUUGUCACUGAUCUGAUCAGCUGAACAAGGUCCUGCAAAGUCACUUUGUCACUGCAUACAAUUCAGUGUGUGGAUGUAAAACAAUUUUCCCCAGCUAAACUCAGACAAAACUGAAAUCAUUGUCUGUGGCCCACAUUGUUUCAUCACUUUGAAACUCUUAAGUCCAGUACCCCUCCAGUACUUAGAUCUCUGCACUGGCUUCUUGUCGCUCAAAUAGACUUUAAAACCGCUCCGCUUCUUUUCGAGAAGCUGUGUGACAAUUCUCAA